rnacentral:rRNA from 1 species
GGGGAAUUUUGGACAAUGGGCGGAAGCCUGAUCCAGCCAUGCCGCGUGAGUGAAGAAGGCCUUCGGGUUGUAAAGCUCUUUCGGUGGGGAAGAAAUCGCCUGUGCUAAUACCAUAGGCGGAUGACGGUACCCGCAUAAGAAGCACCGGCUAACUACGUGCCAGCAGCCGCGGUAAUACGUAGGGUGCGAGCGUUAAUCGGAAUUACUGGGCGUAAAGCGUGCGCAGGCGGUUGUGUAAGUCAGACGUGAAAUCCCCGGGCUCAACCUGGGAACUGCGUUUGAGACUGCACGGCUAGAGGAUAGCAGAGGGGGGUAGAAUUCCACGUGUAGCAGUGAAAUGCGUAGAGAUGUGGAGGAACACCGAUGGCGAAGGCAGCCCCCUGGGCCAAUACUGACGCUCAUGCACGAAAGCGUGGGGAGCAAAC